rnacentral:lncRNA from 1 species
AGAUAAAAGAUAAAAGAUAUACAUGUAUGUUAGUAAGUGCGUAUAUAUGUAUUACACAGUGACUUAUUUCCUUCAUGUCUUUCUACCAACUUCUCUACAUGCACACAUAUAUAUUAUGGAUAUGAUUUACAAUCCACAUAUGAAGAAAAGAUUGUCAUGCUAUUAAGUACGAGACACAACUGGAGUUGAAAGCGGGAGACAGUUUGUUGACAAACAGCAAAGAAACGAACCGAAUACAGAGUCACUGGACUGCGGCCAUGCUGGGGCACCGCCUUGAAGAAUUUUUAGUCGAAUGUAUCGACCCCAGAAUCUUUUUUUAGGUGAAUUUCAACCAGCAUAUAAAGUUAAGCCUAGAAAGUUUCUCCACACGCUAAAAAUGACAGCCAAGUGGCUGCGGUCAUGCUGGUGCAC